rnacentral:rRNA from 1 species
AGAGAGAGACAUGCGCGCAUAUCAAUAAGCGGAGGAAAAGAAACUAACAAGGAUUCCCUUAGUAACGGCGAGUGAAGCGGGAAGAGCUCAAAUUUGAAAUCUUCAAGGUUUUACCUUGACGAAUUGUAGUUUAAAGAAGUGUUUUCUGCUGAAGUUUUGGUAAAAGUUCUUUGGAAUAGGACAUCAUAGAGGGUGAGAAUCCCGUAUUUGACCAUUAUUUUCAGCUUUGUGAUACACUCUCAAAGAGUCGGAUUGUUUGGGAAUGCAGUCCAAUAUGGGUGGUAAAUUUCAUCUAAAGCUAAAUAUUGGCGAGAGACCGAUAGCGAACAAGUACCGUGAGGGAAAGAUGAAAAGAACUUUGAAAAGAGAGUUAAACAGUACGUGAAAUUGUCAAAAGGGAAGCGUUUGACACCAGUGUUGUUUUCUCGAAAAUCAAUUAAAAAUGGCUCGAUUUUGUAUUGCUGAGACCUUAAAAGCUCACUGUACAUUUUUCGUGUCUUUUUUAAUGCACUUUUCGUUUAACAAGUCAACAUCAGUUUCUUUUGUUGUAAAAGGGUCAUUGGAAGGUGGCUUUCUUUUCGGAGAAAGUGUUUAUAGCCUUUGGCCUCUGCAAUCGGAAGAGACUGAGGUCUGCAGCGUAGACUCUUCGGGGUUAGAUACAUUUGUGCUAAGUUAUAGCUUUUUAUAGACAACUUGUUGACUAUAAUUAGUCUUGUAGCUUACUCGCUUAUGCUAUUUUACCUACGCUUAGGAUGUUGAAGUCAUCGUAUCGCGC